rnacentral:rRNA from 1 species
UACGUAGGGUGCAAGCGUUGUCCGGAAUUAUUGGGCGUAAAGAGCUCGUAGGCGGUCUGUCGCGUCGGAUGUGAAAAUCCAGGGCUCAACCCUGGACCUGCAUUCGAUACGGGCAGACUAGAGUUCGGUAGGGGGGACUGGAAUUCCUGGUGUAGCGGUGAAAUGCGCAGAUAUCAGGAGGAACACCGGUGGCGAAGGCGGGUCUCUGGGCCGAAACUGACGCUGAGGAGCGAAAGCGUGGGGAGCAAACAGG